rnacentral:rRNA from 2 species
GGACUACCAGGGUAUCUAAUCCCGUUUGCUACCCUAGCUUUCGCACCUCAGUGUCAGAUCAGGUCCAGUGAGCCGCUUUCGCCACCGGUGUUCCUCCAGAUAUCUACGCAUUUCACCGCUCCACCUGGAGUUCCGCUCACCCCUACCCGCCUCGAGUCCGCCAGUAUCACGCGCAAUUCCCCGGUUGAGCCGGGGGAUUUCACACGUGACUUAGCGCACCACCUACGUGCUCUUUAUGCCCAGUAAUUCCGAACAACGUUUGCACCCUCUGUCUUACCGCGGCUGCUGGCAC